GACCAGCUCAGUUGGUUAGAGCAUGGUGCUGAUAACGCCAAGUUCGCAGGUUUGAUCCCCGUAUGAGACA
rnacentral:tRNA from 1 species